GACGAACGCUGGCGGCGUGCUUAACACAUGCAAGUCGAACGAUGAAGCUGGAGCUUGCUCCGGUGGAUUAGUGGCGAACGGGUGAGUAACACGUGAGUAAUCUGCCCUUGACUCUGGGAUAACUGCGGGAAACUGUAGCUAAUACCGGAUACGACACCUUCGGGCAUCCGAUGGGUGUGGAAAGAAUUUCGGUCAAGGAUGAACUCGCGGCCUAUCAGCUAGUUGGUGAGGUAAUGGCUCACCAAGGCGACAACGGGUAGCCGGCCUGAGAGGGUGACCGGCCACACUGGGACUGAGACACGGCCCAGACUCCUACGGGAGGCAGCAGUGGGGAAUAUUGCACAAUGGGCGAAAGCCUGAUGCAGCAACGCCGCGUGAGGGAUGAAGGCCUUCGGGUUGUAAACCUCUUUUAGUUGGGAAGAAGCGAAAGUGACGGUACCAACAGAAAAAGCACCGGCUAACUACGUGCCAGCCGCCGCGGUAA
rnacentral:rRNA from 1 species